rnacentral:rRNA from 1 species
GCAUGUGGUUUAAUUCGAAGCAACGCGAAGAACCUUACCAGGUCUUGACAUCCUUUGACCACUCUAGAGAUAGAGCUUCCCCUUCGGGGGCAAAGUGACAGGUGGUGCAUGGUUGUCGUCAGCUCGUGUCGUGAGAUGUUGGGUUAAGUCCCGCAACGAGCGCAACCCUUAUUGUUAGUUGCCAUCAUUCAGUUGGGCACUCUAGCAAGACUGCCGGUGACAAACCGGAGGAAGGUGGGGAUGACGUCAAAUCAUCAUGCCCCUUAUGACCUGGGCUACACACGUGCUACAAUGGGAAGUACAACGAGUUGCGAAGUCGCGAGGCUAAGCUAAUCUCUUAAAGCUUCUCUCAGUUCGGAUUGCAGGCUGCAACUCGCCUGCAUGAAGCCGGAAUCGCUAGUAAUCGCGGAUCAGCACGCCGCGGUGAAUACGUUCCCGGGCCUUGUACACACCGCCC